rnacentral:rRNA from 1 species
GGGUUGUGAGGUUAAGCGACUAAGCGUACACGGUGGAUGCCCUGGCAGUCAGAGGCGAUGAAGGACGUGCUAAUCUGCGAUAAGCGUCGGUAAGGUGAUAUGAACCGUUAUAACCGGCGAUUUCCGAAUGGGGAAACCCAGUGUGUUUCGACACACUAUCAUUAACUGAAUCCAUAGGUUAAUGAGGCGAACCGGGGGAACUGAAACAUCUAAGUACCCCGAGGAAAAGAAAUCAACCGAGAUUCCCCCAGUAGCGGCGAGCGAACGGGGAGGAGCCCAGAGCCUGAAUCAGUGUGUGUGUUAGUGGAAGCGUCUGGAAAGGCGCGCGAUACAGGGUGACAGCCCCGUACACAAAAAUGCACAUGCUGUGAGCUCGAUGAGUAGGGCGGGACACGUGGUAUCCUGUCUGAAUAUGGGGGGACCAUCCUCCAAGGCUAAAUACUCCUGACUGACCGAUAGUGAACCAGUACCGUGAGGGAAAGGCGAAAAGAACCCCGGCGAGGGGAGUGAAAAAGAACCUGAAACCGUGUACGUACAAGCAGUGGGAGCACGCUUAGGCGUGUGACUGCGUACCUUUUGUAUAAUGGGUCAGCGACUUAUAUUCUGUAGCAAGGUUAACCGAAUAGGGGAGCCGAAGGGAAACCGAGUCUUAACUGGGCGUUAAGUUGCAGGGUAUAGACCCGAAACCCGGUGAUCUAGCCAUGGGCAGGUUGAAGGUUGGGUAACACUAACUGGAGGACCGAACCGACUAAUGUUGAAAAAUUAGCGGAUGACUUGUGGCUGGGGGUGAAAGGCCAAUCAAACCGGGAGAUAGCUGGUUCUCCCCGAAAGCUAUUUAGGUAGCGCCUCGUGAAUUCAUCUCCGGGGGUAGAGCACUGUUUCGGCAAGGGGGUCAUCCCGACUUACCAACCCGAUGCAAACUGCGAAUACCGGAGAAUGUUAUCACGGGAGACACACGGCGGGUGCUAACGUCCGUCGUGAAGAGGGAAACAACCCAGACCGCCAGCUAAGGUCCCAAAGUCAUGGUUAAGUGGGAAACGAUGUGGGAAGGCCCAGACAGCCAGGAUGUUGGCUUAGAAGCAGCCAUCAUUUAAAGAAAGCGUAAUAGCUCACUGGUCGAGUCGGCCUGCGCGGAAGAUGUAACGGGGCUAAACCAUGCACCGAAGCUGCGGCAGCGACGCUUAUGCGUUGUUGGGUAGGGGAGCGUUCUGUAAGCCUGUGAAGGUGUGCUGUGAGGCAUGCUGGAGGUAUCAGAAGUGCGAAUGCUGACAUAAGUAACGAUAAAGCGGGUGAAAAGCCCGCUCGCCGGAAGACCAAGGGUUCCUGUCCAACGUUAAUCGGGGCAGGGUGAGUCGACCCCUAAGGCGAGGCCGAAAGGCGUAGUCGAUGGGAAACAGGUUAAUAUUCCUGUACUUGGUGUUACUGCGAAGGGGGGACGGAGAAGGCUAUGUUGGCCGGGCGACGGUUGUCCCGGUUUAAGCGUGUAGGCUGGUUUUCCAGGCAAAUCCGGAAAAUCAAGGCUGAGGCGUGAUGACGAGGCACUACGGUGCUGAAGCAACAAAUGCCCUGCUUCCAGGAAAAGCCUCUAAGCAUCAGGUAACAUCAAAUCGUACCCCAAACCGACACAGGUGGUCAGGUAGAGAAUACCAAGGCGCUUGAGAGAACUCGGGUGAAGGAACUAGGCAAAAUGGUGCCGUAACUUCGGGAGAAGGCACGCUGAUAUGUAGGUGAAGCGACUUGCUCGUGGAGCUGAAAUCAGUCGAAGAUACCAGCUGGCUGCAACUGUUUAUUAAAAACACAGCACUGUGCAAACACGAAAGUGGACGUAUACGGUGUGACGCCUGCCCGGUGCCGGAAGGUUAAUUGAUGGGGUCAGCGCAAGCGAAGCUCUUGAUCGAAGCCCCGGUAAACGGCGGCCGUAACUAUAACGGUCCUAAGGUAGCGAAAUUCCUUGUCGGGUAAGUUCCGACCUGCACGAAUGGCGUAAUGAUGGCCAGGCUGUCUCCACCCGAGACUCAGUGAAAUUGAACUCGCUGUGAAGAUGCAGUGUACCCGCGGCAAGACGGAAAGACCCCGUGAACCUUUACUAUAGCUUGACACUGAACAUUGAGCCUUGAUGUGUAGGAUAGGUGGGAGGCUUUGAAGUGUGGACGCCAGUCUGCAUGGAGCCGACCUUGAAAUACCACCCUUUAAUGUUUGAUGUUCUAACGUUGACCCGUAAUCCGGGUUGCGGACAGUGUCUGGUGGGUAGUUUGACUGGGGCGGUCUCCUCCUAAAGAGUAACGGAGGAGCACGAAGGUUGGCUAAUCCUGGUCGGACAUCAGGAGGUUAGUGCAAUGGCAUAAGCCAGCUUGACUGCGAGCGUGACGGCGCGAGCAGGUGCGAAAGCAGGUCAUAGUGAUCCGGUGGUUCUGAAUGGAAGGGCCAUCGCUCAACGGAUAAAAGGUACUCCGGGGAUAACAGGCUGAUACCGCCCAAGAGUUCAUAUCGACGGCGGUGUUUGGCACCUCGAUGUCGGCUCAUCACAUCCUGGGGCUGAAGUAGGUCCCAAGGGUAUGGCUGUUCGCCAUUUAAAGUGGUACGCGAGCUGGGUUUAGAACGUCGUGAGACAGUUCGGUCCCUAUCUGCCGUGGGCGCUGGAGAACUGAGGGGGGCUGCUCCUAGUACGAGAGGACCGGAGUGGACGCAUCACUGGUGUUCGGGUUGUCAUGCCAAUGGCACUGCCCGGUAGCUAAAUGCGGAAGAGAUAAGUGCUGAAAGCAUCUAAGCACGAAACUUGCCCCGAGAUGAGUUCUCCCUGACUCCUUGAGAGUCCUGAAGGAACGUUGAAGACGACGACGUUGAUAGGCCGGGUGUGUAAGCGCAGCGAUGCGUUGAGCUAACCGGUACUAAUGAACCGUGAGGCUUAACCUUACAACGCCGAAGGUGUUU